CAAGAAAAGGUCAGGAUAGCUCAGUUGGUAGAGCAGAG
rnacentral:tRNA from 1 species